rnacentral:rRNA from 1 species
UCCAGACUCCUACGGGAGGCAGCAGUGGGGGAUAUUGCACAAUGGGGGGAACCCUGAUGCAGCGACGCCGCGUGGGUGAAGGAGUGCUUCGGCAUGUAAAGCCCUAUCGGCAGGGAAGAAGCAAGACGGUACCUGACUAAGAAGCCCCGGCUAACUACGUGCCAGCAGCCGCGGUAAUACGUAGGGGGCGAGCGUUAUCCGGAUUCACUGGGUGUAAAGGGAGCGUAGACGGCGAUGCAAGCCAAAUGUGAAAGCCCGGGGCUCAACCCCGGGACUGCAUUUGGAACUGUGUGGCUGGAGUGUCGGAGAGGCAGGCGGAAUUCCUAGUGUAGCGGUGAAAUGCGUAGAUAUUAGGAGGAACACCAGUGGCGAAGGCGGCCUGCUGGACGAUGACUGACGUUGAGGCUCGAAAGCGUGGGGAGCAAACAGGAUUAGAUACCCGGGUACC